rnacentral:rRNA from 1 species
UACGUAGGAGACGAGCGUUGUCCGGAGUUACUGGGCGUAAAGGGUGCGCAGGUGGCGGCGCGCGUGGGGGGUGAAAUCGCCCGGCUUAACUGGGCGGGGGCCUUCCAGACGGCGUGGCUUGAGCAGCGGAGGGGGACGUGGAAUUCCGGGUGGAGCGGUGAAAUGCGUAGAGAUCCGGAAGAACACCGACGGCGAAGGCAGCGUCCUGGCCGAGCACUGACGCUCAGGCACGAAAGCGCGGGGAGCGAACAGG